rnacentral:tRNA from 1 species
ACCUUGGUAGUUUAAGCCUUCAAAACGUCGGUCUUGUAAGCCGAACAUGGAACCUAGAACUUCCCCAAGGUA